rnacentral:rRNA from 1 species
CGCGUAGGCGGUUGUUUAAGUCAGCUGUGAAAGCCCCGGGCUCAACCUGGGAAUUGCAGUUGAUACUGGACGACUAGAGUACGAGAGAGGGAGGUAGAAUUCCACGUGUAGCGGUGAAAUGCGUAGAUAUGUGGAGGAAUACCGGUGGCGAAGGCGGCCUCCUGGCUCGAUACUGACGCUGAGGUGCGAAAGCGUGGGGAGCAAACA